rnacentral:rRNA from 1 species
AUUGAACGCUGGCGGCAGGCUUAACACAUGCAAGUCGAGCGGAGAGAGGUAGCUUGCUACCGAUCUUAGCGGCGGACGGGUGAGUAAUGCUUAGGAAUCUGCCUAUUAGUGGGGGACAACAUUUCGAAAGGAAUGCUAAUACCGCAUACGUCCUACGGGAGAAAGCAGGGGAUCUUCGGACCUUGCGCUAAUAGAUGAGCCUAAGUCGGAUUAGCUAGUUGGUGGGGUAAAGGCCUACCAAGGUGACGAUCUGUAGCGGGUCUGAGAGGAUGAUCCGCCACACUGGGACUGAGACACGGCCCAGACUCCUACGGGAGGCAGCAGUGGGGAAUAUUGGACAAUGGGCGCAAGCCUGAUCCAGCCAUGCUGCGUGUGUGAAGAAGGCCUUAUGGUUGUAAAGCACUUUAAGCGAGGAGGAGGCUCUUUUGGUUAAUACCCAAGAUGAGUGGACGUUACUCGCAGAAUAAGCACCGGCUAACUCUGUGCCAGCCGCCGCGGUAA